GCCAGUGUCGGUAGCACGUUGAAUGCUCCAAUUCCCAAUAGAUCACUGAAAAUGAGCAACGUUGAGCGUGGUCCGUACCUGAAUCGGUGACCGCCCGGGCAAUCGCGUGCUAAUGGCU
rfam:Asian citrus Psyllid, Diaphorina citri - Florida Strain, whole genome shotgun sequence.